AACCUUGCGCAGUGGCAAUAUCGUAACCAAUGAUGGUCUCCUGAGGUGCGAUUAUUGCUAGUUGAAAACUUUUACCAAUACCCCGCCAUGAAGCCGUGAAACACCGGCUGCAUAGGCAAUUUUUGCAAGCUCCUACGGGAG
rnacentral:snRNA from 1 species